rnacentral:rRNA from 1 species
AUCUUUCUAGAAACACUUUCCAGUACUUCUACUUUGUUACGACUUAUUUCAAUUUAUAAAUGAAAGUGACGGGCAAUAUGUACAUAUUUUAAUUUUAAAUCAUUAUAUUAAAUUAAAUAAAAUUACAUUUAAAUCCACUUUCAAUUAAUAUUUAAAAAUUAAUAUUCAUUUAAAUAAAUUUAUUGUAAUCCAUUAUAUUCUUAACUAUUAACUGCAUCUUGAUCUGAUUUAAUUUUUAUUUAAAAUUUUUAAAUAUUAUAAUUAUUAAAAAAUAUUUUUAUAACAACGAUAUACAAAUUUUUAUGUUAAGUAAAUUUAUUCGUGGAUUAUCAAUUAUUAAACAGAUUCCUCUAAAUAAACUAAAAUACCGCCAAAUUAUUUAAGUUUCAAUAAAUAAUUAUAUACUAUUUUAGUAUUUUAAUUUUAAAUUUUAAUAAUAGGGUAUCUAAUCCUAGUUUUUAAUAAAAUUUAUUAAAUCAUAAUUAAAAAUAAAAUAAAAUUUAAUUAUAUUAAAAUUUCACUUAAUAAUAUAAAAUUUCAAUUAUAAAAAUAAAUUAUUUAUUAAUUACUAAUAAAAUUUAAUUCAAUUUAUGUUUAACCGCAACUGCUGGCACAAAAUUUGUUAUUAAUUUUUAAAUUACUGAAUCAUAAUUUCUUAAAUUUUCAAUAUUAAUUACUACUUAUAAAAUUAAUUAUUAUUAAAAUAAUUAAAAAUUAACACUAAAAUUUAUAUGUAAAAUAAGUAUUAAAUAAAUUUUCAAACCAUAAAGAA